CUUCUUCCUCCUCUUCGCUGAAUACAGCUCACGGUAAGUACUGGUUCACACAGUUCGUUCUCGGGGUGCUCACUCUCUUUCUCUUCCUCCACAGGCAACGGCUGGGACACACAGGCACAGUUAGUUCAGCUUGGUUUUGCUCUCACCUCUUCGCUGAUUGCAGCUCACAGUAAGUACUGGUUCACACAGUUCGUUCCUUGGGUGCUCACUCGCUUUCUCUUUCUCCACAGGCAGCGGCGUAAGUACAGGUUUCCUCGGUCUCUCCUCGUGUUACCCACUCUCUCUCCUUUUCUCUCCACAGGUAUCAACUUGGGCACAAUAGCACAGUUAGUUUGCUUUGAAUGGCUCUCACCUCUGGGCUGGACACAGCGUACUGUAAGUACAGGGUUCCUCUGUUUCCUCGGUCUCUCCUCGUGUUACCCACUCUCUCUCCUUUUCUCUCCACAGGUAUCAACUUGGGCACAAUAGCACAGUUAGUUUGCUUUGAAUGGCUCUCACCUCUGGGCUGGACACAG
ensembl:lncRNA